rnacentral:tRNA from 2 species
GAUUUUAUAAUUUAAAUAUAAAAUAUUGAUUUUGUAAAUCAAUAAUUAGGAUAACCUAUAAAAUCU